rnacentral:rRNA from 1 species
UACGGGGGGGGCAAGCGUUGUUCGGAAUUACUGGGCGUAAAGGGUUUGUAGGUGGCUUGUUAAGUCAGACGUGAAAUCCCUCAGCUUAACUGGGGAACUGCGUCUGAGACUGGUGAGCUUGAGUGCAGGAGAGGAUCGCGGAAUUCCCGGUGUAGAGGUGAAAUUCGUAGAUAUCGGGAGGAACACCAGUGGCGAAGGCGGCGAUCUGGGAAGAUACUGACGCUGAGGAGCGAAAGCGUGGGGAGCGAACAGG